GGUCCUGCCUGCCCUGUGACUAUACGUUUAACGGCCGCGGUAUUUUGACCGUGCGAAGGUAGCGCAAUCACUUGUCUCUUAAAUGGGGACCUGUAUGAAUGGCAUAACGAGGGUUUAACUGUCUCCUUUUCCAAGUUAAUGAAAUUGAUCCCCCCGCGCAGAAGCGGGGAUGAAAACAUAAGACGAGAAGACCCUAUGGAGCUUUAGGCAACAAGCAGACCGUAAUAAACAUCCCUUACAAAGGAACAAGACAUACUGAACCUGACCCAAUGCCUUUGGUUGGGGCGACCGCGGGGAAACAGAAAACCCCCAUGUGGAAUGGGACCACCAAUCCUCCAAACAAGAGCCUCUGCUCUAAAAAACAGAACAUCUGACCUGUAAGAUCCGGCAAAGCCGAUCAACGAACCGAGUUACCCUAGGGAUAACAGCGCAAUCUCCUUAUAGAGUCCAUAUCGACAAGGAGGUUUACGACCUCGAUGUUGGAUCAGGAUAUCCUACGGGUGCAACCGCUAUUAAGGGUUCGUUUGUUCAACGA
rnacentral:rRNA from 1 species